rnacentral:rRNA from 2 species
UUGGCAGUGCUCGCAAGAGAACUGGAACACAGGUGCUGCAUGGCUGUCGUCAGCUCGUGUCGUGAGAUGUUGGGUUAAGUCCCGCAACGAGCGCAACCCUUGUCAUUAGUUGCUACGAAAGGGCACUCUAAUGAGACUGCCGGUGACAAACCGGAGGAAGGUGGGGAUGACGUCAAGUCCUCAUGGCCCUUAUGGGUAGGGCUUCACACGUCAUACAAUGGUCGGGACAGAGGGUCGCCAACCCGCGAGGGGGAGCCAAUCCCAGAAACCCGAUCGUAGUCCGGAUCGCAGUCUGCAACUCGACUGCGUGAAGUCGGAAUCGCUAGUAAUCGCGGAUCAGCAUGUCGCGGUGAAUACGUUCCCGGGUCUUGUACACACCGA